AUUGAACGCUGGCGGCAUGCUUUACACAUGCAAGUCGGACGGCAGCACAGAGAAGCUUGCUUCUUGGGUGGCGAGUGGCGAACGGGUGAGUAACAUAUCGGAACGUACCGAGCAGUGGGGGAUAACUAAUCGAAAGAUUAGCUAAUACCGCAUAUCUUCUGAGGAAGAAAGCAGGGGACCAUUUGGCCUUGCGCUGUUUGAGCGGCCGAUAUCUGAUUAGCUAGUUGGUGGGGUAAAGGCCUACCAAGGCGACGAUCAGUAGCGGGUCUGAGAGGAUGAUCCGCCACACUGGGACUGAGACACGGCCCAGACUCCUACGGGAGGCAGCAGUGGGGAAUUUUGGACAAUGGGCGCAAGCCGGAUCCAGCCAUGCCGCGUGUCUGAAGAAGGCCUUCGGGUUGUAAAGGACUUUUGUCAGGGAAGAAAAGGGCGGGGUUAAUACCCCUGUCUGAUGACGGUACCUGAAGAAUAAGCACCGGCUAACUACGUG
rnacentral:rRNA from 1 species